GACGAACCGUACGAACGUUAUUCGGAAUCACUGGGCUUAAAGGGUGCGUAGGCGGCGCAGUAAGUUGGGUGUGAAAUCCCUCGGCUUAACCGAGGAAUUGCGCCCAAAACUACUGUGCUCGAGGGAGGUAGAGGUGAGCGGAACUUUAGGGUGGAGCGGUGAAAUGCGUUGAUAUCCUAAGGAACACCGGGUGGCGAAAGCGGCUCACUGGACCUCUUCUGACGCUGAGGCACGAAAGCUAGGGUAGCAAACGGG
rnacentral:rRNA from 1 species